AAACCAUGCAUUGGACAUUUCUUAAGUCAUUCCUUGAAUCACUCCCAAGCUUCAUAUAACAUCUCAUCCUCUGAUUAACGAAAAGAUGUGAUAUCAUUCCUUAACUU
rnacentral:snoRNA from 1 species